rnacentral:rRNA from 1 species
GACAGAGGUGCCAAGCGUUAGGCGGAAUCACUGGGCUUAAAGCGUGUGUAGGCGGGUGCCUAAGUACCUUGUGAAAUCCCACGGCUCAACCGUGGAACGGCUGGGUAUACUGGGUGCCUUGGGUCAUCCAGGGGCUGCCGGAACAAAUGGUGGAGCGGUGAAAUGCGUAGAGAUCGGGAAGAACACCCGUGGCGAAGGCGACGUGCUGGGCUGCAUCUGACGCUGAGGUGCGAAAGUGUGGGGAGCAAACGGG